CUGCGCCACGAGUGGCAACCACUUUUAUUGGGCCUAAAGCGUCCGUAGCCGGUUUUGUAAAUUCUUUGUGAAAUCGUCAAGCCUAACUUGACGGUGUGCAGAGAAAACUGCAAGACUAGGGACCGGGAGGAGUCAGAGGUAUUUUUGGGGGAGCGGUAAAAUGCUAUAAUCCCAAAAGGACCACCUGUGGCGAAGGCGUCUGACUAGAACGGAUCCGACGGUGAGGGACGAAAGCCAGGGGAGCGAUCCGGAUUAGAUACCCGCGUAGUCC
rnacentral:rRNA from 1 species